AGAGUUUGAUCCUGGCUCAGGACGAACGCUGGCGGCGCGCCUAACACAUGCAAGUCGAACGGAGCUGAGAGGAGCUUGCUUUUCUUAGCUUAGUGGCGAACGGGUGAGUAACGCGUGAGUAACCUGCCCUGGAGUGGGGGACAACAGUUGGAAACGACUGCUAAUACCGCAUAAGCCCACGAUCCGGCAUCGGAUUGAGGGAAAAGGAUUUAUUCGCUUCAGGAUGGACUCGCGUCCAAUUAGCUAGUUGGUGAGGUAACGGCCCACCAAGGCGACGAUUGGUAGCCGGACUGAGAGGUUGAACGGCCACAUUGGGACUGAGACACGGCCCAGACUCCUACGGGAGGCAGCAGUGGGGGAUAUUGCACAAUGGGGGAAACCCUGAUGCAGCGACGCCGCGUGGAGGAAGAAGGUCUUCGGAUUGUAAACUCCUGUUGUUGAGGAAGAUAAUGACGGUACUCAACAAGGAAGUGACGGCUAACUACGUGCCAGCAGCCGCGGUAAAACGUAGGUCACAAGCGUUGUCCGGAAUUACUGGGUGUAAAGGGAGCGCAGGCGGGAAGACAAGUUGGAAGUGAAAUCCAUGGGCUCAACCCAUGAACUGCUUUCAAAACUGUUUUUCUUGAGUAGUGCAGAGGUAGGCGGAAUUCCCGGUGUAGCGGUGGAAUGCGUAGAUAUCGGGAGGAACACCAGUGGCGAAGGCGGCCUACUGGGCACCAACUGACGCUGAGGCUCGAAAGUGUGGGUAGCAAACAGGAUUAGAUACCCUGGUAGUCCACACCGUAAACGAUGAUUACUAGGUGUUGGAGGAUUGACCCCUUCAGUGCCGCAGUUAACACAAUAAGUAAUCCACCUGGGGAGUACGACCGCAAGGUUGAAACUCAAAGGAAUUGACGGGGGCCCGCACAAGCAGUGGAGUAUGUGGUUUAAUUCGA
rnacentral:rRNA from 1 species